rnacentral:rRNA from 1 species
CCGUGGGGGCUAAGCUUCAUUGGUCAAAAGGAGAAGAGUCCUUGAUCUCAAGUUAAGGUCCCAAAAUCUACGUUCAGUGCAUCACAAGGAGGUGGAAUCUCACAGACAAUGAGGAUGUUGGCUUAGAAGCAGCCAUCAUUCAAAGAAAGCGUAACAGCUCACUCAUCGAGAGAUUCUGCGCCGAAGAUAAUCGGGGCUUAAACGUAGUACCGAAACUGAGGGCUUGCGCGUUCCUUCGGGAGCGCCAAGCGGUAGGAGAGCAUUCGCAUCUGCGAUGAAGGUAAAGGGGUGACCCAUACUGGAGCGUACGGAAGUAAGAAUGUUGGCACAAGUAACCGCAAUCCCAGUGAGAUCCUGGGACGCCGAAAGACUAAGGUUUCCUUGGCGAUGUUGAUCAGCCAAGGGUUAGUCGGGCCUAAGGUGAUGGCGAAAGCCGAAACCGAUGGACACAUGGUUAAUAUUCCAUGACUCCAACGCGGUGCGAUGGGGGGACGAAGUUUAGUAUACUUUGCGCAUUAUUGGAUUUGCGUUUGUGCUCGAAGGAAGGUUUCCAGGAAAAUCCGGUACCUGCUUUUAAUGGCAAUUCCAACGAGAAUGAAAAUUCUUUCCGUUCGCGGAGAGAAAAUAGAGUAAAGCAGACUUCCGAGAAAAACCUCUAAGCAUAACCGCGGUGGAACCGUACCGUAAACCGACACAGGUAGUCUGGUCGAGAAGACUAAGGCGAACGAGUGAUUGUUUCCCAAGGAACUCGGCAAAAAAGCAGCCGUAACUUCGGAAUAAGGCUUGCCCCCAUUCGCAAGAAUGUGGGGCCGCAGCGAAAGUAUCCCUGGCAACUGUUUACCAAAAACACAGCUCCCUGCGAACUCGUAAGAGGAUGUAUAGGGGGUGACGCCUGACCAAUGCCAGAAGGUCAAAUAUCGGUGGUGUGUGCAUCACAUUGCAUGUGAUGCCGUAAAUGUAAAAUGCAAAUAUCAAAAUGAAAAAUUGCGGAGUAAGUUUUCUUUAAGAAAAUUUACAAAUAAUAGUUUAUUCGCCAUAAGGCGAAUUCCAUAAUUUUAAACUUUGAUUUUUUAACUUUACAUUUACGAGCAUCGUGCGCAGCGUGAUGCAUAUGCUGACUGAUAUAAGCCCUGGUGAAUGUCGGCCGUAACUAUAAAGUAGGACGUUGUAGUUACGCAAAUAAAUUUGACUGUAUGCUGGAAACUCCUUAGAGCUUCAAGUGCGAAACAGAAUCUGAAAAGAUAAACUGCCAAGCAAAAAUCUUGAAGAUUGGACAAUCAGCAGGAAAGAUUCCUAAAAUUCAAAAGAAUUAUGGAAAAUCCUCAGAGACUAUACGUCAAACAUUCUUAAGGCAAGCACAUGCCGACCGCCUUAAGGUAAAGAUAUAGUCCGAUCUUUGCAGUAAUGCAAAGUUAACACAAUAUGAACGGUCCUAAGGUAGCGAAAUUCCUUGUCUGGUAAGUUCAGACGUGCACGAAUGGCGUAAUGACUGGGGAACUGUCUCGGGAAAUAGCUCGGUGAAAAUACAAUACCGGUGAAGAUGCCGGUUACCUGCAGUUAGACGAAAAGACCCCAGAAGCUUUACUAUAACUUGGUAUUGAGUAUGUUUUUCGGCUGCGUAGCAUAGGCGGGAGACUUUGAAGUUCAGAUCUUGGUUUGAAUGGAGUCGCCAGUGCAAUACCGCCCUUUCGGCAGGCAUAUUCUAACUUGUACGGCAAAAACGUACAGAGACAGUAUCUGGUGGGUAGUUUUGGUGGGGCGCUAUCCUCCUAAAAAGUAUCGGAGGAGUUUAUUAAGGUUCCCUAGGCGCGAAUGGAAACCGUGCCGAUAGUGUAAUGGCACAAGGGAGCUUGACUGUGAGGUGUACAUACCGAACAGGUGCGAAAGCAGAACAUAGUGAACCGACGGUUCGCAUUAGAUGCGGCCGGAGAUUAACGGAUAAAAGCUACUCUGGGGAUAACAGGCUAGUUCCGCCCAAGAGUUCAUAUCGACGGCGGAGUUCGGCACCUCGAUGUCGGCUCAUCUUAUCCUGGGGCUGGAGAAGGUCCCAAGGGUUUGGCUGUUCGCCAAUUAAAAAGGUACGUGAGCUGGGUUCAGACCGUAGAGGAGUGAAUUACAAAGAUAUGUUUUCUUCUUUGUAAUUGACUUCUCUUAGUCUGAACCCGAGGAGAUAAGACUAAACUUAUCAAAAAGACAUUUAUCACGGCGGCUCCGAUUAGAAAUAAUCGCGAGACAAGCCAACUAAUAUCGGGAAAUCCCGACAGACGCGGAUGAUUGCGGACUAAACGCAGACUGACGCGGAAAGGGUAAUUCCGAGGGAAGAGUUAGUUAAAAGUUCAUAAAGUCCGCAAAGUUUUUAAAGUAGAUGCAUUCAUAUCUCCUUUAUAAACUUUUAACUUUGUAACUCUAUAAACUUAUUCGCCCGUAGAGACUAAACGUUGGCACGCUUACUAAAAAUAAGUGCAUGCUAUAGUCCGAUCCCUUCAGCAAUGAAGGUUCUUGCAUAACGAGACCACGGCAAGAUGUAAAACAGAAAUGCGUGAGACAGGUUGGUCUCCUAUCUACUGCAGGCGUUGAUUCUUGAGGAGAUUUGCUUCUAGUACGAGAGGACCGAAGUGAACUGACCUCUGGUGUGUCGGCUGUUCCGCCAGGAGCAUUGCCGAGUAGCUAAGUCGGGAAUGGAUAACCUCUGAAAGCAUCUAAGAGGGAAGCCAACUCCAAGAUUAGGAAUCGUUAUGAGACCCCUAGGAGAUGACUAGGUUGAUAGGCUUUAGGUGUACGUAGAGUAAUCUACUAAGCCGAGAAGUACUAAUUCGUCCAUCAUUUCCUAUUA